GAGGUCUUCACGGAAGUAAAAAAACAUGACUCCCUGUUUCGUGCCUUGAACUGGAGGUGUAACUGUCCAUGGCGUUUUUACUUCUUUACUCCUAUGGAUUCUUCAUUUCAUCAAUCCAAGCAACAUGUUUUCACAAAUUCCUCAGCAGAUUCACUAAAACGUCCCCGAGGAGUGAUUGCGUCUGUUUAGCUGAUUGGAAAGCUAGCUUGCACAGCUAGCGGGUUCACGACAAGGAUUUCUGUUUUGCUUGAUCAGCCGUUUUACUGCCUUGUUGCAGACACCGUUUGGAGACAAUUAAGACAUGCUUCCAAAGAGUGACAUUCACGUCGUCCACCUCCCGAAAAGGAGCAGGAAGAAGCAUCCAUCCAUCCAUCCAUCCAUCCAUUUUCUAAGCAGACUUUAUUUAUUCUGGCUCCUUCUAUGUGUGCCAGUAAUUAAUUGUUAGGUUAUUUAUUCCAACUUGAAUAGGGAGCAGAAUUGGUCUGCAAGGUGUAGGGGGAAAAAAUGUGUUGAACUGAAAUAAAUGAAUGAAUAAAUAGGUAAGUAAGAAUGAAAGGGCUUUAAAAACAAACAAACAGAUAAAUAAGAAGGAAAUGGGUUGUUUGACAAAAGUAAGAAAGUAAAAUAAA